rnacentral:rRNA from 1 species
AGCGAACGCUGGCGGCAGGCUUAACACAUGCAAGUCGAGCGGGCAUCCUUGUGGUGUCAGCGGCAGACGGGUGAGUAACGCGUGGGAACGUGCCCUUCGGUUCGGAAUAACUCAGGGAAAGUUGAGCUAAUACCGGAUAAGUGCGAGAGCAGAAAGGUUUAUCUGCCGAAGGAUCGGCCCGCGUCUGAUUAGCUAGUUGGUGAGGUUACGGCUCACCAAGGCGACGAUCAGUAGCUGGUCUGAGAGGAUGAUCAGCCACACUGGGACUGAGACACGGCCCAGACUCCUACGGGAGGCAGCAGUGGGGAAUAUGGGACAAUGGGGGCAACCCUGAUCCAGCCAUGCCGCGUGAGUGAUGACGGCCUUAGGGUUGUAAAGCUCUUUUCUCCGGGACGAUAAUGACGGUACCGGAGGAAUAAGCCCCGGCUAACUUCGUG